ensembl:lncRNA
CUCAAAUCUAAGGAUACUUCUGGCCGACUACACCUCAUGAAUCACUACACCCUGGGUAUCAUUUUGUACGGCACAAGAGAGCAAAUGGUCAGGCAAGGGUUAAAAAAGGCACAAGUCUGUCAUCAGGCUCUCUUAUCCUGAGACCUGUAACAGAUCUUCGGGGGCUGGUCCGGGAUCAGCAGUACUACGGGGGUCCGACAACUGCUGAUCCAGUAAUCCAUGAACCGUGGACCAGAGUGAUGACACGUUGCUGGAGCGAGGGGCACUGCGAGUGAGCGACUGCCAGGGUGAGAGAACCAGUCUAGUGGAAUCCAAGCCGAG